UCAAAUAGCCAUACCCGUCAGUGCCGAUCUCAUUUAAUGUCAGGAGAUGAGCAGGGUUGGGCUGGUUAGCACUUGGAUGGGAGACUGUUGAGAAUACCAGGUGUCAUUAGUG
rnacentral:rRNA from 1 species